AUAUGUGAGGGCAAUCUGGCUGUGACAUAUGUCACCGCAUUUAUCGCCAGGGCUGAUUUGGUUGAUCUGGCUUGCUAGGCAGAUGUCCCCUUCCUCCCUCACCACUCCAUGUCCAUCCCUCCCCAGGCUGCACACUUGGUGGAAGAGGAUGGCCUUCCCUGAAAAUAGACAGACCGGUCUUCAGUCAAGGUUAUAGGAGUAGCCGAACUCCCCUGCUAGAACCUCCAAACAAGCUCUCUAUUUCGUCUUAAAUGCUCCCUCACCCACCCCCUGGCCCUUUAAAACAUCUUACCUUGUUU
rnacentral:snRNA from 1 species